AGGGAAUAUUAGUAAUGGGCGAAAGCCUGAACUAGCAACGCCGCGUGUGCGAAGAAGGCCUUCGGGUUGUAAAGCACUUUUUGAGAGGAUGAGGAAGGACGGUACUCUCAGAAUAAGUCUCGGCUAACUACGUGCCAGCAGCCGCGGUAACACGUAGGAGGCGAACGUUAUCCGGAUUUACUGGGCGUAAAGCGCGUGUAGGUGGUUUGGUAAGUAGGGCGUGAAAGCUCCUGGCUCAACUGGGAGAGGCCGUUCUAAACUGCCGAACUAGAGGAUGGUAGAGGGAGGUGGAAUUCCGGGUGUAGCGGUGGAAUGCGCAGAUAUCCGGAGGAACACCAGUGGCGAAAGCGGCCUCCUGGACCACUCCUGACACUCAGACGCGAAAGCUAGGGUAGCAAACGG
rnacentral:rRNA from 1 species